CUGCCGUGAUGAAUUAUAACUGUGUGCCGAGACUUUCUGUCGGUGACGGCAUCACAAACCUCUAAGAAGUUCUGAGCGC
rnacentral:snoRNA from 1 species